CAUGCCGUAAACGUUGGGUGCUAGACGUGGGGGCCUUUCCACGGUUUCCGUGUCGUAGCUAACGCAUUAAGCACUCCGCCUGGGGAGUACGACCGCAAGGUUGAAACUCAAAGGAAUUGACGGGGGCCCGCACAAGCGGUGGAGCAUGUGGUUUAAUUCGAAGCAACGCGAAGAACCUUACCAGGUCUUGACAUCCCAGUGACCACUCUAGAGAUAGAGUUUUCCCUUCGGGGACAUUGGUGACAGGUGG
rnacentral:rRNA from 1 species